rnacentral:rRNA from 1 species
CGAACGCUGGCGGCGCGCUUAACACAUGCAAGUCGCACGGAAAGGCCCUGCUUUUGUGGGGUGCUCGAGUGGCGAACGGGUGAGUAACACGUGAGUAACCUGCCCUUGACUUUGGGAUAACUUCAGGAAACUGGGGCUAAUACCGGAUAGGAGCUCCUGCUGCAUGGUGGGGGUUGGAAAGUUUCGGCGGUUGGGGAUGGACUCGCGGCUUAUCAGCUUGUUGGUGGGGUAGUGGCUUACCAAGGCUUUGACGGGUAGCCGGCCUGAGAGGGUGACCGGCCACAUUGGGACUGAGAUACGGCCCAGACUCCUACGGGAGGCAGCAGUGGGGAAUAUUGCACAAUGGGCGGAAGCCUGAUGCAGCAACGCCGCGUGCGGGAUGACGGCCUUCGGGUUGUAAACCGCUUUCGCCUGUGACGAAGCGUGAGUGACGGUAAUGGGUAAAGAAGCACCGGCUAACUACGUG